UGGGGAAUAUUGCACAAUGGGCGAAAGCCUGAUGCAGCGACGCCGCGUGAGGGAUGACGGCCUUCGGGUUGUAAACCUCUUUCAGCAGGGACGAAGCGCAAGUGACGGUACCUGCAGAAGAAGCACCGGCUAACUACGUGCCAGCAGCCGCGGUAAUACGUAGGGUGCAAGCGUUGUCCGGAAUUACUGGGCGUAAAGAGUUCGUAGCCGGUUUGUCGCGUCGUUUGUGAAAACCAGCAGCUCAACUGCUGGCUUGCAGGCGAUACGGGCAGACUUGAGUACUGCAGGGGAGACUGGAAUUCCUGGUGUAGCGGUGAAAUGCGCAGAUAUCAGGAGGAACACCGGUGGCGAAGGCGGGUCUCUGGGCAGUAACUGACGCUGAGGAACGAAAGCGUGGGUAGCGAACAGG
rnacentral:rRNA from 1 species